rnacentral:lncRNA from 1 species
AUGGCCAAGAAACACCUGACCAACUCAUUGUUCAGACACUGCAGCAGAAGGCUGAGGCAGACAAAAAUGACAAAGCUGUUAAGGACCUGGUGGUGCUGCUGUUUGAAACUGCUCUGCUCUCUUGUGGUUUCUCUGGUUUGAAGAUUCCCAAACCCACCCCAACUUCAUCUACUGCACGAUUAAACUGGGCCUGGGCAUUGAUGAAGAUGAGGUCACUGCAGAUGAGUCCAGUGAUGCUGUUCCUGAUGAGAUCCCCCCACUGAAAGGUGAUGAAGAUGCCUCUUGCAUAGAAGAAGUGAAUUAAGGGCUCCUGGGAAGCCCAUGCCCUCUGUAUAGUAUCCCUGUGGCUCCCCCAACUGCUUUGACUGACCCUGAUUCACCUGGCUCUCUGCUCAUGUCUAUAAGGAUCUCUUCUAUCCUGUCCUUGUGCCUUAAGGCAGGAAAAUCCCCUCCCACAGAAUAGCAGGGUUGAGUGUUGUGUAUUAUAGGCUUUUUGUUUUAUUUUGUUCUGAAAUUAAAAGUAUGCAAAAUAAAAAAACAGACUUCU